rnacentral:rRNA from 1 species
UACGUAGGGUGCAAGCGUUGUCCGGAAUUAUUGGGCGUAAAGAGCUCGUAGGCGGUUUGUUGCGUCGGCUGUGAAAUCCCGAGGCUCAACCUCGGGUCUGCAGUCGAUACGAGCAAACUAGAGUGUUGCAGGGGAGACUGGAAUUCCUGGUGUAGCGGUGAAGUGCGCAGAUAUCAGGAGGAACACCGGUGGCGAAGGCGGGUCUCUGGGCCGAUACUGACGCUGAGGAGCGAAAGCGUGGGGAGCAAACAGG